GGCCUAACACAUGCAAGUCGAGCGGUAGAGAGAAGCUUGCUUCUCUUGAGAGCGGCGGACGGGUGAGUAAUGCCUAGGAAUCUGCCUGGUAGUGGGGGAUAACGUUCGGAAACGGACGCUAAUACCGCAUACGUCCUACGGGAGAAAGCAGGGGACCUUCGGGCCUUGCGCUAUCAGAUGAGCCUAGGUCGGAUUAGCUAGUUGGUGAGGUAAUGGCUCACCAAGGCGACGAUCCGUAACUGGUCUGAGAGGAUGAUCAGUCACACUGGAACUGAGACACGGUCCAGACUCCUACGGGAGGCAGCAGUGGGGAAUAUUGGACAAUGGGCGAAAGCCUGAUCCAGCCAUGCCGCGUGUGUGAAGAAGGUCUUCGGAUUGUAAAGCACUUUAAGUUGGGAGGAAGGGUUGUAGAUUAAUACUCUGCAAUUUUGACGUUACCGACAGAAUAAGCACCGGCUAACUCUGUGCCAGCAGCCGCGGUAAUACAGAGGGUGCAAGCGUUAAUCGGAAUUACUGGGCGUAAAGCGCGCGUAGGUGGUUUGUUAAGUUGGAUGUGAAAUCCCCGGGCUCAACCUGGGAACUGCAUUCAAAACUGACUGACUAGAGUAUGGUAGAGGGUGGUGGAAUUUCCUGUGUAGCGGUGAAAUGCGUAGAUAUAGGAAGGAACACCAGUGGCGAAGGCGACCACCUGGACUAAUACUGACACUGAGGUGCGAAAGCGUG
rnacentral:rRNA from 1 species